UCAUAGACAAUUGAAUAUUCUGUGCUCAGCACCACCCUUCUUCCGUCUGGAUCUUGUUUUCAUGACAACGUGCAGGCUCAUGGAGUUGCAGCAUCUCUAACCCUCCAAAUGGAACAGUGAGAUAAUCCACGGACACUCUGGAUAUGGGUCCUGAAUGGAAAGAACCUUUAAGGACACCUAACCAAUUUAUUGUAUGAAGAUUUUCCUUUUUAUGUAUGUGCAUGAGUGCUAUAUAGUUAAAAACUCAUGUCUUCCUAAGUCUGAAAGAACCACUUCUAAGAAGUAUAAAAUAGAAAUUCUCGAAAACA